AUAUCUCUCUGUACGGGAAGGAUGAGAAGCUUCGACUAAGGUUCGAUUCGAGCGAAAGCGAGAAAGCGUUGCCGCAGGCAACGACCCGAAUGGCGAAGCGCGCAGCGCUGAGUAAUCCUUCCCCCACCACCA
rnacentral:sRNA from 1 species